AAGUCGUAACAAGGUUUUCGUAGGUGAACCUGCGGAAGGAUCAUUAAUGAAUCUCGGGAGUCCCUCCUAACCGGAGAAGGCCCGCAUCAUUAUUUCACACACUUGUGCAUUUGUCCCCUUUUCAAUACCUUUAACCCUGUAUGCAUUUGAAACAGUCAUUGGUUAACAAACAUGAUAAAUGAAAGAAAAACUUUCAGCAAUGGAUCUCUUGGCUCUCGCAUCGAUGAAGAACGCAGCAAAGCGCGAAAUGUAAUGUGAAUUGCAGAAUUCAGUGAAUCAUCGAAUCUUUGAGCGCACCUUGCGCUCUCGGGUUAUUCCUGGGAGCAUGUUCGUUGGAGUGUCGCGUACCUCUCAACCCCGUCCCUUGCAAAAGGGAUCGUCUCAGGGUUUGGAUCGUGGCGCCUUUGCCCGGAAGCGCUCUGCUUUCUUGGGCUGCGCUGAAUUGCAACAAGCUGUACCUUUGUACUGGCGGUUUGACCCGUUGUCAUAAGCUCACACUUUCAAUGGGGACGUCGGUCGGGAUGGGCUUACCACAAAUCAAUCUAUACACUUUGACCUCCAAUCGAGCAGGACUACCCCCUGAACUUAAGCAUAUCAAUAAGGGGAGGAAAAGAAACUAACAAGGAUUCCCCUAGUAACGGCGAGUGAAGCGGGAACAGCUCAACUUUGAAAUCUGGCCCUUUCAGGGUCCGAGUUGUAGUCUCGAGAAGCAACAUCCGCGUCGGACCUUGGGUAUGUCGGUUGGAAUACCGCGUCAAUGAGGGUGACAAUCCCGUUUGUACCAAGGACGACCGUGCGCAUUGUGGUGUGCUUUCCAAGAGUCGAGUUGUUUGGGAAUGCAGCUCUAAUCGGGUGGUAAAUUCCAUCUAAAGCUAAAUAUUGGCGAGAGACCGAUAGCGAACAAGUACCGUGAGGGAAAGAUGAAAAGCACUUUGGAAAGAGAAUGAAACAGUAUGUGAAAUUGCUGGAAGGGAAACGAUUGAGGUUAGACUUGCUGGGGCGGCACUCAGCCCUCACGGGUGUAUUUGCCGUCCGUUGGCAGGCCAGCAUCGGUUUGAAGUCGGGUAAAAGGGUGCAGGGAACGUGGCUCGCCUUCGGGUGAGUGUUAUAGCCCGGCACUGGAUGCCCGACCGCAGACCGAGGAACGCAGGGCGCCGCAAGGCAGUGGUCUCGUGCCACCGAGCCCUUAGGAUGCUGGUAGAAUAGCCUUAACCGACC
rnacentral:rRNA from 1 species